UAGGGAAUCUUCCACAAUGGACGCAAGUCUGAUGGAGCAACGCCGCGUGAGUGAAGAAGGUUUUCGGACCGUAAAGCUCUGUUGUUGGUGAAGAAGGAUAGAGGUAGUAACUGGCCUUUAUUUGACGGUAAUCAACCAGAAAGUCACGGCUAACUACGUGCCAGCAGCCGCGGUAAUACGUAGGUGGCAAGCGUUGUCCGGAUUUAUUGGGCGUAAAGCGAGCGCAGGCGGAAGAAUAAGUCUGAUGUGAAAGCCCUCGGCUUAACCGAGGAAUUGCAUCGGAAACUGUUUUCUUGAGUGCAGAGGAGGAGAGUAGAACUCCAUGUGUAGCGGUGGAAUGCGUAGAUAUAUGGAAGAAUACCAGUGGCGAAGGCGGCUCUCUGGUCUGCAACUGACGCUGAGGCUCGAAAGCAUGGGUAGCGAACAGGAUUAGAUACCCUGGUAGUCCAUGCCGUAAACGAUGAGUGCUAAGUGUUGGGAGGCUUCCGCCUCUCAGUGCUGCAGCUAACGCAUUAAGCACUCCGCCUGGGGGAGUACGACCGCAAGGUUGAAAC
rnacentral:rRNA from 1 species